rnacentral:rRNA from 1 species
AUGAGCACAAACUUGCUCCACCUGCUGCCGCGACCUUCCUCCAACUGUCACCAUGACCUUCUUCCCUCCACAGCCAGAUGCCGCUGGCGACAGGCCCCCACAACCUCCAACCCCUGCUACGGCCCACCCCCACCAUCCUCUGUGCUUCUUCCCCGACAUCGCAACCAGGGCACCAACCCACCGGUUCCUAUCAUGGCACUGGAGACUCUCAUCCGUGCUUCUUCCCCGCCGCUGCAUCCAAACAUGUCCAACCACCACCGCUGCCCGUGGAAGACGAGCAUCUACCGCCGCCGCAAGAUCGACUGGAGGUCAGAGAGAUCUGCCAGAGUGGUGGAGACAGGGGUGGAGCUCAGGACUAGGGAGGAGGUGCAUCACGGUGGCGCUCAAAAUGUCACAGUGAAAAGCUUUUUUGGUGUUGUGUGA